rnacentral:lncRNA from 1 species
CCGAGUCGGACGGCCCCGCUGGGGCUUCUUGUGCAGGUCUAGGGACUGUGGAGCCGGGCCCGCGGCGGCAGCGACGGAGGGGCUGGGCUGCUGGAGGCCCGGGCCCCGCCGACUCAGCCUUAGGGCGCUGCGGUUGCCUACCAGCUCCCUGGCGGCCCCAUCCCAGGCCACCCCAGCUAGAAAUCGCCCCUGCUGCUGGAGCUGCGGCUGCGGCGGCAGCUCCUCCGCGAGACCUGCAGGUGGCGUCAUCUCCUCCCCUGCGGCCGUGGGUAGGGGCUGCCGCCUGCGGUCAGCGGUCAGGGAAGCUGAGGGCGAGGGAUCCGCGCAGGAUCCAUUUUGCAGCUGCUGGUCAUCCAGGUGCCACCCUGCGGGAAGUUUGGGCAGCACGGAGUCCGCCAGCAUUCUACAGGAAGUUUGGGGGAGCACAAGGUUGCCUGCAGAAGGCCAUCAGAAGGGGGAUUUCAGCAGGUAGCUGAUGUAAUCAUAUUUGCACUACAACCUCAAGAGGAAUCUCUGCCUAAAUAAACAAAAGAGUGAUCUGCCUGCUCCCCGCAGUUGAGAGUGCUGCACUGCAAGUGUUACCUGGUGAGGCCCACCUCCAGCCCACUACUUCUGGGGUAUGUGAGGUCUGCCUGCAAUGGGGUGGAUUGUCUACUUAAUUCCACCCUUCAGUUAGCCAGCCCAAUUGUCCCUCACACUGAGCCAUACCUUCCAUUUUAGCCUUUAUCAGUAAUGAAGGGGAAAUUUUGGUUCUCAAAAAAAUUAAA